rnacentral:rRNA from 1 species
AGAGUUUGAUCAUGGCUCAGGAUGAACGCUGGCGGUAUGCUUAACACAUGCAAGUCGAACGGUUGUAGAAAUACAAUAGUGGCGGACGGGUGAGUAACGCGUGAGAAUCUGCCUUCAGAACGGGGACAACAGCCGGAAACAGCUGCUAAUACCCGAUAAGCCGAAAGGUGAAAGAUUUAUUGUCUGAAGAAGAGCUCGCGUCCGAUUAGCUAGUUGGUGGGGUAAAAGCCUACCAAGGCGACGAUCGGUAGCUGGUCUGAGAGGAUGACCAGCCACACUGGGACUGAGACACGGCCCAGACUCCUACGGGAGGCAGCAGUGGGGAAUUUUCCGCAAUGGGCGAAAGCCUGACGGAGCAAUACCGCGUGAGGGAGGAAGGCUCUUGGGUCGUAAACCUCUUUUCUGAGGGAAGAAGAAAGUGACGGUACCUCAGGAAUCAGCAUCGGCUAACUCCGUGCCAGCAGCCGCGGUAAUACGGAGGAUGCAAGCGUUAUCCGGAAUCAUUGGGCGUAAAGCGUCCGUAGGUGGCAGUGCAAGUCGGUUGUCAAAGGGCAGGGCUUAACCCUGUCAAGGCAGCGGAAACUGCACAGCUAGAGAGAGGUAGGGGUAGAGGGAAUUCCCGGUGUAGCGGUGAAAUGCGUAGAGAUCGGGAAGAACACCGGUGGCGAAAGCGCUCUACUGGACCUCAUCUGACACUGAGGGACGAAAGCUAGGGGAGCGAAUGGGAUUAGAUACCCCAGUAGUCCUAGCCGUAAACGAUGGAUACUAGGUGUUGCCUGUAUCGACCCGGGCAGUGCCGGAGCUAACGCGUUAAGUAUCCCGCCUGGGGAGUACGCACGCAAGUGUGAAACUCAAAGGAAUUGACGG